rnacentral:rRNA from 1 species
UACGUAGGGCGCAAGCGUUAUCCGGAAUUAUUGGGCGUAAAGAGCUCGUAGGUGGCGUGUCGCGUCUGCCGUGAAAGCCCAUGGCUUAACUGUGGGUCUGCGGUGGAUACGGGCAGGCUGGAGGCUGGUAGGGGCAAGCGGAAUUCCUGGUGGUAGCGGUGAAAUGCGCAGAUAUCAGGAGGAACACCGGUGGCGAAGGCGGGUCUCUGGGCCGAUACUGACGCUGAGGAGCGAAAGCGUGGGGAGCGAACAGG